CUGCUCUGACCGGGCUGCUCUGACGGGAAUUUCUCUGAUCUGAUAUGCUUUUCUCUGUUCUGAUCGGGCUGGGGUACUUCUCUGCUCUGACCGGGCUGGGGCAUUUCUCUGCUCUGACCGGGCUAGGCAUUUUUCUGCUCUGAUCGGGCUGGGGUAUUUCUCUGUUCUACUCUACGGGCUACACUAUUUUGCGCCUCUGCUCUAUGGGUUGUUUUGAUCUAUUCUAAUCACUGCUCAGCGAAAAGUAAGCCGCCUCUUGGGCGUGCCAAUGUUAUCUAUUGGUCUUCUCACGCGUUGGAUUUCUUACGCGCUCAACAACAGGGUAUAUUGUUCAGACUCGACAAAUAUUUAUGACGGGUUUUCUCACAUGAUCAGAGUAUCAUAUUUCUCAACUUCGACAUGGGUCUUCCUAUGUUAUUCGGGUAUUCUUGCAGCGGUCUUCUGGUUCAUCCAACACAAAGCAUUUAUAUUGCUUAUCUAUGCAAAGUAUUCAAUAUGGGGUAUUCUCAGCGCUGGUCUUCUUAUGCGCCCAAAAAAAUGGAAAUUAUCCAUCUUUGUCAACAUUCAACAAAAAAGAAGGAAAUCUAACUUGGAACUACAAUUCCAAAGUCAAGGGGAAAAUGCUUAUCUUUGCUUUCUUAAAUUAUUAAAACUCUUAUGUCUUCAGGAUUUGCAGGGAUUAAGGAAAACAGCACAGCGCUGGCUUUAACAAUACUUCGCUGGCUGAACACGAAGAAUACUCGGUUCAACCAGACCAGGGGGGGAGUAGCUGAUGAGGACUGAAAUAUGCACCAGCGCUGUGCUAAACAUAACGGGAAUAUUUCUAGUUAUGACUAUUAUUAUUAUUGUUAUUGUGGUUAUUUCUGAUAUUUGAUACAUGAUUGCCCUGACUUUCGGCUUGGCUCAGCUCGGCUCCGCUUUCCAGCUCUGAUGGCUCAAUUUCAAGAUGUAGAUUAGAAUAACGGGGCUUGGGCUUAAUUCAUUGGGCUAAUGGGCUUUAAGGGUCUAAUGGGCCUAAGGGCCUUAGGUUUAUGUUCAUGCUUAUAAAUAGGGCCUUGGGGGCAUAGAUUAGAGGAUCAUCUCAUU